rnacentral:rRNA from 1 species
AUUGAACGCUGGCGGCAUGCCUAACACAUGCAAGUCGAACGGUAACGCGGAGAGCUUGCUCUCUGGCGACGAGUGGCGGACGGGUGAGGUAAUACUUAGGAAUCUGCCCAUUAGUGGGGGACAACUCGAGGAAACUCGAGCUAAUACCGCAUACGCCCUACGGGGGAAANCCGGGGGAUCUUCGGACCUCGCGCUAAUGGAUGAGCCUAAGUCGGAUUAGCUUGUUGGUGAGGUAAAGGCUCACCAAGGCGACGAUCCGUAGCUGGUCUGAGAGGACGAUCAGCCACACUGGGACUGAGACACGGCCCAGACUCCUACGGGAGGCAGCAGUGGGGAAUAUUGGACAAUGGGCGCAAGCCUGAUCCAGCAAUGCCGCGUGUGUGAAGAAGGCCUGCGGGUUGUAAAGCACUUUCAGUAGAGAAGAAAAGCCUAGGGUUAAUACCCCUGAGUCUUGACGUUACCUACAGAAGAAGCACCGGCUAACUCCGUG